UGCUGUGUCCAUAUCCUGUUUGUAGUGU
rnacentral:piRNA from 1 species